CUCGGCGGAGGGGCCCGGCGGGAACAAACAGCCGCCUCGGCCGGAGCGCUGCUCGGGUGGCCGGAGGCAGAUUCUCCUCUUGCCCGCAGAUCCCGCAAACCCUCGCUCCCUGGAGCCGCUGCCUUCACUGCGCUCAGCCCUGGAUGGUAAGGGUUCACGCGGGUGCCAGCUGGAGCUGGGAGUAGCAGCGGCAGUCCCCCACCCGUCAUCUCCCCAAGGCAGCGCCCGGGCCACCGAGGCCAAAGCGCAGUUGGAGCCGCACCAGCGGAGCCUGAGACGCCGGGACCAACGCUGCCGGAGCGGGGCCCGAAGGAACCCGAGCGGCUUCCGGCCCAAGGCGAGACGCACUUGAGUGAUCGCAAGGAGCAAAGUUGGCGUUCUCAGAUUUGGGCCUCGGAGAGGUGAAGCACAACCCUGAAGAUUACCUGAAGGAGCUUCUCUACUGACAUGCUGGCCUGUGUCCUUGCCAAGGACGUCACUUUCCUAGACAUUUCUCAUCUCUUCCCCACUAUUUCAAGAUCCCAGGGACAGUGACUUGUAUGGCAAACAAGAUUUGAAUUCAGAAUUCAAGAAGCACUUCCCGACUUCAGCCAAGUAAGAAGGAACUUCUUCUUCCUGUCUGUGGAAAUUUCUUGAAUUUGAAAGGAAUUUAUCAUGAAGUUCUGUGAGGCAGAAGGAGGGACCGUAACACCAUUUGAAGCAGAAGCGACUCUACUGCAGAUCAGUGGGAGGACUGCAAGUGAGAAUGGUUUUUCAGAUGAUGGGGCAGCCCACUAACUCUUCCUGAAGUCAAGGAGCCCCUGGUGUUGCUUGUCUCAGAAAUGAAGAGCUAUCCUGGGGUCUGGAGGAGCUCAGCCAGGUUCCAGUCUGUGUCAAAGGGGAGUGCUCUCUCAGUAGGAAACGGAACGGACAGUACCCCUACGCGUCCUUCCAAUCCCAGCUGGGGCAGAGAUGAGAGCCGCCCAGAGCCAACUUGCCAACCCUCAGUAUCCUGAUGCUGUGCUGGUCAAAGAGGUGUCAAACCCACCCCAGGACGUUAGACUAUGGAGAAAGGCUGCUCCUGAACCAGGGAUGAAAGAAGCAGCCCCAGCCUUACCCACAGAGCCUGAACUCUGCAACACCCUCUGGGCUGAGUGGCCUGCACCAGCCUCGGGAAAUGGAACAGGGGCAGCAGGCCUGACUCUGCAGAGAGAGCAUCAGAGAAGAACCCAGGAGGAGGCUGCCCCUCGUCGUGCAUCUUCAUUCCUCAAGCACUCUCAUUCAGCAAAUCCCAAGGACCUGUGUCUAGACUGUCCUAGGUGCUGGGUCAGUGAAGAGUCAGACUGUCCUCUGCCUUCGCUAUGCCCAGGAGAGGGCAGCCAUGCAGCCACUGCCCAUACAGGGUGGUCAGUGUAUGAUGCGGGCAGAGAAGGGAUGGUAGGGGCACAGAAAAGGGAGCCCACCGAGCCUGGCAGAGCCAGAAGGCUUCCUGAGAGGGUAGAAGUCCAGCUGCAGGGGAGCAGGCCCAGGCUGGAUGAGGGCUCAUUCUCUGUGCCCCCACCUCAUCUCAUCACUGCACUUACUGAAUUUCCAUGUGUCUGUUUCCCACAUUACGGGUACCGUGUCUCACUCAUAUUUGAAUCCCUGGCACGUAGUAUAGUGCCUGGUACAAGUUGAUAGUGGAUAAAUGUGAAUCAGAUGGUUGGAAGGAUGGCUAAGUAAUGGGACAAGAAAAUCACGGGUGCAAAGACAAGAGAAUAUAGUCCAUUCUGGGAAGUGCAAGACUUUCAGUAUUUUUCUACUAAAAAUGAGAUGAGCUCAAUAUCCGUGACAACCUAAUUGGGCAAAGAAUUUAUAAAAGAAUAGAUGCAUAUAUAUGUAUAACUGAAUCAUUUUGUUGUAUACCUGAAACUAAUACAAUGUUGUUAAUCAACUGUGUGCUCCAAUAUAAAAUAAAAAGUUAAAAAAAUUAGAUGAGCUAAAUACCUGUAAAAUUCUUAGGACACUGCCUGACGCAUCAAUACUGCUUGUUAACUGUUUUAACUUUUUAAAAUUAUUAUUUUUCAAUAAAGCUUUAAUUAUUUGCUUAUUUUAGUGAAAACAUUGAACUUUUGUUGUUUUGAAUACAUUUAUUAAUAGAACAUAGGUCUUGGUAAGUGGUGCCUAUGACUAUAACAGUUUUUCUAAGAUGAAGACUAUAUAUUUUUCUGACAAAAUUUUGUGAAAAAGACAAAAGUUGUGAACCAAAUAAUAAUAAAUAUUGUAAAUCAUGUCAAAAUAAGCAGAUCAACAAUGUGAUGAAAAAAAUC